rfam:Gongylonema pulchrum genome assembly, scaffold: GPTH_scaffold0038638
GGAUCGGUGGUGUAUUGGUAACACAUUGCAUCCGGACGUGAAGAGGAGUGGUUUGAUUCCCUCCCGGUCCG